rnacentral:misc_RNA from 1 species
AUUUCGGUUGACGGUAUUGGCCUUUCAAUUUCUUCUAAUUUUCAGAUCAUACCAACAGCAAUUGCAGUGUUUUCAAGGUAAUUCGGUCCAGAUCUGAAACGGCUUUAAUAUAUAUCUUCGAUGGAUGACCUAGAUAUGUUGACUCGAGAUUACGGGUUUAGACCCGGUGGAAAAUCGGCUCCGAUGAGAUCCGACGGUGGAGAUCGUCGUUCCUCUUCCGUACGAUCAUCGUCAUCUUCACCAUUGUAUGAUGAUCCUGAUGGUUUAUUGUACAAAGACGUCUUCGGUGGACCUCCAAAAUACACCAAGUCUAGUAAUAACAACAGUAAAUCUUCGUCGAUGAAUGAUAUCAAUUACGAUUCAAUUUUCAAUACGGGCAAUGAUUCGAAUAGCUAUAACAACAGUAAAACAUCGUCUGUUCCGGUGUAUGACAAGCCUGUGUACGACGAGGAUAUUUUUGAUGGAUUGCCAGGACUGAAGAGCAAAUCGGAAUCUGAAUCUGCAUCCACUCUGAGAUUUGACGACAACGUUUUUGCUACAAUGACUUCGCCACCACAACCAAAGAUGAAGGACGAACACUUUGGUGAUCUGCUUUGGAAUUUGAAGUCGAAUGAGAAGGUAACAGGGCCUAAGAGCAGUACGAGCUCGAGCGCCAAAGAGUUUGAUGAUUUGUUAGCUGGUUUUGGGAGUAGCACUUCCACCAGUAAUAUGAGGUCAUUCACAGAGUCUAGUCAUUACUCCAAACCCACUGGAAAUUCAAAUCAAAGUACUAUUGCUCUGGAUGACCCUUUUGCAGGUCUAGGGCCAACCUCAAUGUCGCCUUUGUCUAAUUCGGGGGAGUUCAUGGAUCCACUUGAGCAGAUUGGUCAGCUAGGUAAAUCUGGAAAUGCACACUCUGAAGCUUCAUCGGUUAGUGGAGGAGUUCUUGAUGAUUUAGAUCCACUGAAUGGUUUUAGUAAGUCUGUCCCUCCAUUGUACUCUGCUAGGACUAACAGAGGGACGGGAGGGAGUCCUCAGAGGGUAGGAUCUGGAAGGAGUGACACACAAGCCUCUUCUUCUAGAGAAAACAUCGGAAAAUCUUCUUCCAGAUCUUCUGAUAGCCGCUCACAGAAAAAGGUGCCUGCGGAUGGUUUUCAGGACUCUCCUCUGUUUGACAUACCUUCAGCUGAUCCUCAGAGAUCUUUUGGUCCAGCUGGCUCCCCCCCUUCAUAUCCAAGUGGCAAUAUUCAUGAAACACACUUCGGAUCAGAUACGUCCCCAAGAUCAGAGGACCAAAUGCUGCCUUCUGAUGAUGUGUGGCUUAGUGUAUCAGAGAUUCCUCUUUUUACACAACCUACAAGAGCUCCACCUCCAUCACGACCUCCUCCUCCAAUUCCUCGGCGAAAUUUUAAGUCAGAGUCUAGUUCCUUUGCUUCAAAUGCAAGAAAAAAGGGUGACAGACAUUCUUCUUCUCCAAGUUACAACCAAUACUCUCAAAGUCCUAAGGUUGUUCGUCCUGCAGCCAAGAGCCCUCCAACUUCUCAGUUGGAUGAACUUGAUGAAUUUGCCAUGGGUAAAUCUCCCCACAGUGUGGAUGGAAGUGCAGAAGUUUCUGGUGAAGAUAUGAAUGCAAACUCAGUAGCUGCUGCAUCAGCAGCUGCGAUGAAGGAGGCUAUGGAUAGAGCUCAAGCCAAAUUUAGACAUGCUAAGGAAGUUCGAGAAAGAGAAUCUGCAAAGGCAGCGAAGAGUAAGGAGGCUGUAAAUCUGGACAGGGAUGAACAGGCCAUGCAUGAGACACAAGAAAAAGAAUUGAAAGAAAACAAGGAGAGAUUAGAACGUGAACGUCAACAGAGGGAAAAAGAAGAGGAAGAGAGAGCACAAUGGAAACUUGAGAGGGAGAGGGAGAGAGCCAGAGAGCUAGAAAGAGAUAGGGGUAGGCAAGCUGUAGAAAGGGCUACUAGGGAAGCACGAGAAAGAGCAGCAGCAGAAGCUAGAGAAAGAGCUGCUGCUGCUGCUCGUUUAAAAACCGAAAGAGCUGCUGUGGAGAAGGCUGGAGCUGAAGCUCGAGAACGGGCUGAAAGGGCUGCAGUUCAGCGUGCACAAGCGGAAGCCCGUGAAAGAGCUGCAGCAGAAGCUAAAGAAAGAGCAGAAAAGGUAGCUGCAGAAGCAAGGGAAAAAGAAGCACGUGAAAAAGCUUUUGCCGCAAUGGCCGAGGCUGAGGCACGAAGGCGAGCAGAACGAGCAGCAGUAGAAAGGGCAGCUGCAGAAGCUCGAGAAAGGGCAGCUGCAGAGGCUCGAGAAAGGGCAGCUGCUUCUGCAAGAAUGAACCAACAAAGGAAUGAUAAUGAUCUUGAAUCCUUUUUUAGUAUGGGUAGAGCCAGUAGUGCACCAAAGACAAGAACAAGUGACAACAUAUUUGACUCGCCGUUUCAGAAUAAGGCAGGACCUGAAGGGCCAAAAUCAACAGCUGGUGUAGCCUCCUCCAACAUAAGGAAAGCAUCUUCCACGACUAGUUUCGUGGAUGAUCUUUCUUCUAUUUUUGGAGCUUCUGCAUCAUCUGGAGAGUUCCAAGGUGUUGAAGGGGAAACUGAAGAAAGAAGAAGAGCAAGACUAGAGCGCCAUCAACGUACUCAGGAGCGUGCGGCUAAAGCUUUGGCUGAGAAGAAUCAGCGUGACCUUCAAGUGCAGAGGGAUCAGGAAGAAAGACAUAGAAUUUCCGAAACAUUAGAUUUUGAGAUCAAGCGAUGGGCUGCUGGAAAAGAGGGAAAUCUGCGUGCACUUCUAUCGACUUUGCAAUAUGUGCUUUGGCCUGAAUGUGGCUGGCAACCUGUGUCCUUGACCGAUUUGAUUAUGGAUGCCUCUGUCAAAAAAGUAUAUAGAAAAGCAACCCUUUGUAUUCAUCCUGAUAAGGUGCAGCAAAAAGGUGCCAACCUUCAACAAAAGUAUAUUGCCGAGAAGGUUUUUGACCUACUGAAGGAAGCGUGGAACAAAUUCAAUUCUGAAGAACUCUUCUAGAGACUCAGUUUUAGGUCCCUUUUGUGAUUUUCAGAGGUGGGUAUAUUUUCCUAAAGUAAGCUCG